AAUAGAUACCCGGGUAGUCCACGCCGUAAACGAUGAGUGCUAAGUGUUAGAGGGUUUCCGCCCUUUAGUGCUGCAGCUAACGCAUUAAGCACUCCGCCUGGGGAGUACGGCCGCAAGGCUGAAACUCAAAGGAAUUGACGGGGGCCCGCACAAGCGGUGGAGCAUGUGGUUUAAUUCGAAGCAACGCGAAGAACCUUACCAGGUCUUGACAUCCUCUGCCAACCCUAGAGAUAGGGCGUUCCCCUUCGGGGGACGAGAGUGACAGGUGGUGCAUGGUUGUCGUCAGCUCGUGUCGUGAGAUGUUGGGUUAAGUCCCGCAACGAGCGCAACCCUUGAUCUUAGUUGCCAGCAUUCAGUUGGGCACUCUAAGGUGACUGCCGGUGACAAACCGGAGGAAGGUGGGGAUGGCGUCAAAUCAUCAUGCCCCUUAUGACCUGGGCUACACACGUGCUACAAUGGAUGGUACAAAGAGCUGCGAACCCGCGAGGGUAAGCGAAUCUCAUAAAGCCAUUCUCAGUUCGGA
rnacentral:rRNA from 1 species